UGCUACUCUAUGUGUUUAUCGUUUGUCAUGAAAUGACUGUUCCAUUUCCAAAAUAUUAAAACAAAAGUUAUGAGUUUAUGACGCAUCUUAACAAUAGCAUAAAUUAGAAUCUGUUGAAAAACAAGUUGCUGGAUUACGUUAUUAUCACAGAAUCUACUAUUAAUACAGAAGAGGAAUUACAAACAUUGGAAGCAAAAUUAAUUAACCGUGAUCAAAACCAUGAAUUUAGAUUGUUGAAAUUACAAUAUAGUCAAUGGGUAAAGAUAUAAAACAUUCAAUUAAACGUAUUAACACAUGGCAUAUCAAAUUGGAUGUUCUGGCUAAAUACUCUAGUUUAACUACUUUUUGGAUAUUACACAUAUUUAUUUAUCUACUACAAUAAAUUCAAAUGUAAAAAAUAUUAUUUUGUGAGCCUCAUAGGUUUUUUUUAAAUUAUUUUUUACCUAGUAUAUUGAGAAUAAGAGAGUUAAUAUGGAUUAUUCUGAAUAUACAAUUCAUGCUAUGUUAUGCAUUUGUAAGACAUAACAAAGCAUGGAAG